rnacentral:rRNA from 1 species
AUUGAACGCUGGCGGCAUGCCUUACACAUGCAAGUCGAACGGCAUCGCGGGAAAGCUUGCUUUCCUGGCGGCGAGUGGCGAACGGGUGAGUAACACAUCGGAACGUACCGGCUAGUGGGGGAUAACCCGUCGAAAGACGGGCUAAUACCGCAUACGCUCUUCGGAGGAAAGCAGGGGACCUUUGGGCCUUGCGCUAGUCGAGCGGCCGAUGUCCGAUUAGCUAGUUGGUGGGGUAAAGGCCUACCAAGGCGACGAUCGGUAGUGGGUCUGAGAGGACGAUCCGCCACACUGGGACUGAGACACGGCCCAGACUCCUACGGGAGGCAGCAGUGGGGAAUCUUGGACAAUGGGGGCAACCCUGAUCCAGCAAUGCCGCGUGGGUGAAGAAGGCCUUCGGGUUGUAAAGCCCUUUCGGCAGGGAAGAAAUCGGCGGGGCGAAUAACCCUGCUGGAUGACGGUACCUGCAGAAGAAGCACCGGCUAACUACGUG